AGUGAACGCUGGCGGUAGGCCUAACACAUGCAAGUCGAACGGCAGCACAGUAAGAGCUUGCUCUUACGGGUGGCGAGUGGCGGACGGGUGAGGAAUACAUCGGAAUCUACUUUUUCGUGGGGGAUAACGUAGGGAAACUUACGCUAAUACCGCACACGACCUACGGGUGAAAGCAGGGGAUCUUCGGACCUUGCGCGAUUGAAUGAGCCGAUGUCGGAUUAGCUAGUUGGCGGGGUAAAGGCCCACCAAGGCGACGACCCGUAGCUGGUCUGAGAGGAUGAUCAGCCACACUGGAACUGAGACACGGUCCAGACUCCUACGGGAGGCAGCAGUGGGGAAUAUUGGACAAUGGGCGCAAGCCUGAUCCAGCCAUACCGCGUGGGUGAAGAAGGCCUUCGGGUUGUAAAGCCCUUUUGUUGGGAAAGAAAAGCAGCAGGUUAAUACCCCGCUGUUCUGACGGUACCCAAAGAAUAAGCACCGGCUAACUUCGUG
rnacentral:rRNA from 1 species